UGGCGGACGGGUGAGUAACGCGUGAGUAACCUGCCUUCAAGAGGGGGAUAACAUUCUGAAAAGAAUGCUAAUACCGCAUGACAUAUCGGAACCACAUGGUUUUGAUAUCAAAGAUUUUAUCGCUUGAAGAUGGACUCGCGUCCGAUUAGUUAGUUGGUGAGGUAACUGCUCACCAAGACCGCGAUCGGUAGCCGGACUGAGAGGUUGAACGGCCACAUUGGGACUGAGACACGGCCCAGACUCCUACGGGAGGCAGCAGUGGGGGAUAUUGCGCAAUGGGGGCAACCCUGACGCAGCAACGCCGCGUGAAGGAUGAAGGUUUUCGGAUUGUAAACUUCUUUUAUUAAGGACGAAACUUGACGGUACUUAAUGAAUAAGCUCCGGCUAACUACGUGCCAGCAGCCGCGGUAAUACGUAGGGAGCAAGCGUUGUCCGGAUUUACUGGGUGUAAAGGGUGCGUAGGCGGCUUUGCAAGUCAGAUGUGAAAUCUAUGGGCUCAACCCAUAAACUGCAUUUGAAACUGUAGAGCUUGAGUGAAGUAGAGGCAGGCGGAAUUCCCCGUGUAGCGGUGAAAUGCGUAGAGAUGGGGAGGAACACCAGUGGCGAAGGCGGCCUGCUGGGCUUUAACUGACGCUGAGGCACGAAAGCGUGGGUAGCAAACAGGAUUAGAUACCCCUGGUAGUCCACGCUGUAAACGAUGAUUACUAGGUGUG
rnacentral:rRNA from 1 species